GAGUUUUAAACUAGCGGCAUCACGUGGAAGAUUUUUUAAUUUCUCAAGACUGCAAGGAAUUUCUUUAUCAAUGUAUAGUAAAUUUAAGGCGAAUUCAAACGAUGGUGGAGGUUUACUAGAGCCGAAGGCGAAGGCUGCUGUCACAUCAGAUAUAAAAGUCAUUAGUUUUUCUUAAAAUAAAUGUAAAUAAAUCUACUCAUUAAUUUUUCAUUAAUUUAAAAAAUUAUAUUUGCAAAAAUAAAAUAAUGUAAAAAGUAAUUGAGGAUAGGAAUGACAAAUAAUAAAUAAUUAAUGAUUUGCAUUGAAAGGAUCGGGUCCAUUAUCCUGAAUGAGACUUUUGUCAUUAAAAAAUUACUAUUGACAAUUGAAUAUCUGUAUGGUUAUGUCUAGCGGAUCAAAUUACGGUAUUUAUGGUUUUUAAAUAAAAAUUUCCCGCAUUUUAUGCUAAUUUGCGGAAAAUUAUGGGUUUUCACGGUAACAAAGUGCAACACUUUACUACUUUAUGGUAAAAUGCCGUAAUAUUGCAUCAAAUCUGCACGUUUGCGGUGAAAUACCGCAUUUCGGAUCCGCCAGGAAGUGCGAACAUAAUCCAGGAAAAUCAGAAUAGCAGAUACCCAACGCUUCGAGUUUUCAACAACGAAAUAUUGACAUCUCACCUCUGGCUUCACUAAACUCUCCAGAUUUGUCGGCGAAGUCUUCAUCUUCAUCAGCACUUAUUUUAUUUAAUAAUAAUUAUUUAUUUAAAUAAAGUAAUUAUACAGUAAAUCCGUAUUUUUACCGUUAAUUAACAAUACAAGUUAAUUAGAUAAAUAAUUAAGCUGUUGAUUUUUUUACAGAAGCCGGCAGUCGUUCGAUACCCACACAAUGAUGCAAUAAUUAAUUCAAAUUUAAAGAAAUAAUCACCGCCAAUUAUAACAGUAAGUAAUUUAUUUAUUUAUUUAAUUAGUCAAUAUGACUCAGGUAAAUAUGAAGAUAAAUAAAUAUUUUAAAUAAUUGUGAUAAAAGUCGAUUUUAAAUUAUCGAUACGAUGUAAAUAUGUAGAAAGACCAACGGUGACUGCGAUGUGUGAAGCUAAAAGGCGCCUGCUCUACCUAACCACCUCCAGUUAAAAUUCCUUCCAUGAAGAGGAGAAAUAUAUCAAGUGGGGGCAUAGAUCCAAGCAAAGUAAAGCUAUCGACAUACCAGUGGCAUUACUACCAGUUCACAGUAGUAUUUUAGCCAGCACGUAUAUUCCUGUGUACGUAUGACAAUUACACCAAUACAUCAUAACUACACAUAUUGUACUCUUGUGUGCACUCUGGUCUUCAUAAUAUGGGUCCAUUCUGCGCAGAAGCAAUACACUGCUGGAGGCUCGUCCGCUUUCAAGGGCAAAUAAGGUCACAAGACCACCCUCUAUCGCGGGAAAUACCAAAUGUUACAUCAUCAAGCUUUAUUGUAGUUUUUUUUCUUUAAUUAUAUAGGCAGCGAAUGUAUUAAUGGGUUUGACAGCGGAUUGUAUCAACCUGGAAAUACUGGGGUAAUUUGAUCCUCAUCGCGCAACAGAACGAAAGUAUUUCUGCGUAUGAUGCAAAGGUCCUUGGGUAUUACUUUGCUUCUCUUUCUAUAUAUAUGUAUAUAUAUACUUGUUGUAUAAGCAUGAGGAUUAUGCUAAGGAUUGCUAUGUUGAAUAAGCAUUUUUAAACUGGAGGCUCGUCACUGUACGUGUUAAACGUCACGUACCAUUCAUACUUUCUUUUAACGUUAAGUACUUCCAUUAUUGAUUAUAUCUAAUCAAUUUAUAAUUUAUGUUCAUUUAAAAUUUAUGUUCUCAUGCAAUCUGUUAAUAUUUGUUUUAUUAUUUUUUUAUAUCAGACAUUACUUCAAUGCCAUCGAUUCACUUCAGGGCAAUGCCUAAUGCCCUUGAUUGAUGUCAAUUUUUUAAAAAUUAAAUCAUAAAAAAAAUAGUCUAUUAUUAGUAAUUACAUCAUGAUAAAUUUAAUACGUCAUAUUUAAUUAUUUAUUUGUUUCAAGGUCAUGUUUAUUUGAUCACGAACUUUUCUAUGAAUUAACUGACGUAGAAAUUAAGACAUAAUUAAUUUUUUAUUUAAGGAAGAGUAUAAUUUUAUUUUAAAUACAAAUAAGUAA